GUAUACGGCCAUACCACCCUGAACACACCCAAUCUCCUCUGAUCUCGGAAACUAAGCAGAGUCGGGCCUGGUUAGUACUUGGAUGGGAGACAAAACAAAAAUCCAAAACCAGGAUGAAGUCUUGG
rnacentral:rRNA from 1 species